rnacentral:tRNA from 1 species
GCUGCUAUGGCUCAGUCGGUAGAGCGCGUCCUUGGUAAGGACGAGGUCCCCGGUUCGAAUCCGGGUAGCAGCUCCA